rnacentral:lncRNA from 1 species
GUUCCAGUAAAUUUUCAUAAAGACAUAACAUGGAGAUCUCUUCAUUCAUACAUUCAGGUACCUGAAUCUCUCAUGAGAUUUUAUGAAGUGCUAUGUCGUGUGAUCCUUUGGAUCACUUGCCUCCUUAUUAUGAUCAUUUGCUCAUCUUCUUUAUUAAGAAGUUAUUUUGAAACCGAUUUGUCUAUACUUUUUAAGCGUAUCCAAGACUUUGUCCUUCUAGGACUUAAUAUGAGCAUUUGCAGUAAUAUAGUUACUUUCUUUGGGUGUAGCAUGCUUUGCAAUAUGUUGCAAUUGAAUUAUCCUUUU